AGUUGAUAGAUAAAAAAGUCUGCAACGUAGUAUAGCUGGUAAUCUCUCUGUAAUCUGUAUUUUUAUUAAAACCUAAACAUAAUUUAAAUUUAACCAAAAUUUUAUUUGUUAAUGAAAAAUUAUGAGUUGUAAACAACAAUAACAGAAACUAAAGAUGCCGCCUGUUAUACCUGAUAGAUGGAUACCAUACAAACCAUGUGGAAAAGUAAUUGAUGGAACUAGAAUAAUAUGUUUCAAAGUACCUCUAAGGACGAGUGUUCAGCAGGGAAAUAGUGCAAUUACUCAUAUAUGGGAUAUACCUGCUUUACUACGGGAAAUACCUAAACUGGGAGCGGUUAUUGAUUUAACAAAUACAGCCAGAUACUACAAUCCAAGGGACCUACAAGAGGCUGGAGUUCUACACAAGAAAAUUUUAAUGCCCGGCCGCGUUAUACCCCCUGAGAACAAAGUGACAGAAUUUAUGGAUACCGUUGACGAGUUCUUGGGAAAAGACUGCGACUUCCUCAUUGGUGUUCACUGUACUCACGGACUGAAUCGAACUGGCUAUAUGGUAUGCCGGUAUCUACGCGACCGCCUUGGUAUGCCCGGCAAAGACGCUAUCAAAAAAUUCGAAAGAGCUCGUGGGUACCAAAUUGAGAGGAAGAACUAUGUAGCGGAUAUAUUAGGGAAGAAGCCCCCACCCCCAGAUCUAGGAAAUUCAACACCAGUGAAACCUAUAGCUUCGUCCACAAAACCGAUUCCGUCGUCCUCUGCAGCAACGGAAUCGUGGUCGAUCGUAGUCAAAGGAGGGCGAGCUGAUCAACGUACCGGCGAAAUGAGCGAUUCGGGACGGUCACGUCGCCAAGGCCAGAGUAGUGGAUCAACUCAAAAAAAGUUUUAAGCAAUUGGACAUCUCCAAGUAAGGACUUAUAAACAUGGUUCCAAGCAUAAUAAUAGGGCUGUGAUAUAAAAAGAAAUAAUUAAUUUUUAUGGUUGUUAUUAUUUGAGGAAAGGGCACAAAAUUUAAGCAAAGGAUUUAGCAGUAUAUUUCGUAAGGAACAGGUAUAGAAAUAGCGAGAAAUGUAGUAAGCAGUACCUUAGAAAGAUGUAACACAUUGUAGAUUGAAUGAAAUUUAAAUUGUAAAAAAAUACCAUGUUGUGAAUACUUGUGGACUCAAUAAAAUAGGCUAAGUGUGAAAUUGCACGCUGCAUAUUUUUGAGUGACUUCAAGAGAAAGAGUUUAGAUUUUUUGUGAUUAUAUUAUGUAACUACGUUUUUAAUUCUAUACUGAUUUUUACAAUUGUCUUUGUAAAUUUAGUAUUCUAUCCGUAAAUUCAAAUAUUUUUUGUAUUAGUUAUCUAUGAAAUAAUAUGUUGUUCAUCUAGAUUGAAAUUGCUUUUUCACGAAUUAGUAUGUACCUGUUUCUUCUAAAUAAAAUACACAUUUGGGUUAUUCCUUAGGACUUAACUUAUUAGUAAUAGGUUUGUUAAGGUUGAUUUUUUACCUUGUUACCUAUUGAGAUGAUGAUGAGAUGAAAAUAUGAGAUUAUUUUGUAAUGAAAAAUUUUAUAAGUACAUACUUGUUUAUUUACAUGCAUUACUAAUACCAAUUAAGUUUUUGUGUUAUUUUGUAUUUAAUUUAAUACAGAAUGAUUUUAUAUAACUUAUUAGUAAUAGGUUUGUUAAGGUUGAUUUUUUACCUUGUUACCUAUUGAGAUGAUGAUGAGAUGAAAAUAUGAGAUUAUUUUGUAAUGAAAAAUUUUAUAAGUACAUACUUGUUUAUUUACAUGCAUUACUAAUACCAAUUAAGUUUUUGUGUUAUUUUGUAUUUAAUUUAAUACAGAAUGAUUUUAUAUCUGUGAUCGAUGUCGUUUCAUACCAAAAUAGAGGCCAUGUUGGCAACAAAAAGUAAAAAUAUUAAUUGUAUUGUGUACCUGGUCCUGGCUAGCAAAUAUAUUUUCAUGAUAUAAUGUAUUUUGUU
rnacentral:misc_RNA from 1 species